GAUGAAGAACGCAGCGAAAUGCGAUAAGUAAUGUGAAUUGCAGAAUUCAGUGAAUCAUCGAAUCUUUGAACGCACAUUGCGCCCCCUGGUAUUCCGGGGGGCAUGCCUGUUCGAGCGUCAUUUCACCACUCAAGCCUCGCUUGGUAUUGGGCAACGCGGUCCGCCGCGUGCCUCAAAUCGACCGGCUGGGUCUUCUGUCCCCUAAGCGUUGUGGAAACUAUUCGCUAAAGGGUGUUCGGGAGGCUACGCCGUAAAACAACCCCAUUUCUAAGGUUGACCUCGGAUCAGGUAGGGAUACCUGCUGAACUUAAGCAUAUCAAUAAGCGGAGGA
rnacentral:misc_RNA from 1 species